GCUGCUGUUUCUUAGAAUACGUAUUUCACAUCGUGCCAUCAAAAUAAGAAUAGUAAAAUCAUCAUUGGAUAUAUAACACCAUUCAAAACAGUUUUCGAAUUAGAGUUGUUUAAUUUAUUUAAUUGGAUAUUAUAGCGUUUGUCAAUUUUUGCACGUAAUGUUAUCUGGUGGAUGUCGCAGGGAAGCAAUGCGUAAUCAAAAUCGUGUUACUAACUUGAUGUUGAUCGCCUAUUAUUCGCAUUGCGUUGUAUGCAUUGCUUUUGAGAAUGAAUUGAAUUUGUUCUGUAUUUCCGCGUCUUUUACUCGAAAGUUUUUAUUUGAAAGUGAAAUUCGCGUGCGAACAAAUAUCAGAAGUAUCGAAAAAUGUAACAAGUAAUCGUCGCAGUUAUCAGAGGUAUUGAAAAAUAACGGUUGUAUUAAUUAAUACGUAUAGUCGUUUAUAACUGCAUUUUUUAAUUAUUUUAAUCUCGUAUCAUAUCGAGUCGACUUCUUUGACUAACUGAAUAUCCUUUUGAUCGAUUUACUACGUUAUAUUAUUACGUUUACUUCAUGUUGUUUGCUCACUCAAAGUAUCGCGAGUACGUGCGGUGGACGGUAUGAUAGCGACAUCUAAUGGUCGUGACAAAAUAUGUAUUUUUGUAAUGAACAUUAGCUUACAAUGAUUAGCGCAAUGUCGGUUAACAUAUUAUUGUUUUUUGAAUUUUUCUAAAGUGGAAUCACGCGCAUGUGAAAAGUAUUCGGAGUGCUAAAUAGAUUGACGGCAUAUUUUGUAAUUCAUGUUACGGUCAAAGUGUGUUGUCGAUAAAUAAAUGCCGAGAGUGUCGGGCUUAUGUAAUCGUAAUUAGUUGCGUAUUACGAAUCGAUUUGUAUAGGCGAUUCUCUGCAGCAAAGAAGCAACAAGAUGACAUCAAUUGAUUAUUGACAUCGAUAAACUUUGUGCGCGUAAUCGGUGCUACGAUAUAUAUUUGUUUCGUCAUAAUGUAAUAAAAUACGCGUUCCGUUUACAGUGAAUCGUGCGAUUUUCGCAUUUGGGUACGCACGCGAGCAAUGCGUGCGCCGCGAACGCGUGUGAGUGCCUCGUGUGAGUUCUCGUGUGAGGACUGCUGAGAGGUGAAGGAGGCCCAGAAGGCAUCGACUACGCAAAGAUUUACGCAACCAGGAUUGUCUUAUGCUCGAAUGAGACGAAUUGGCGAUGGUAGCAGAAUGUUUUCAAUCUUCCGGAAAUCCUGAUGCGACGAUCAAAUAAAUUAUUCUGGAGUCAUCGGUAAGAAGUCGUUUGUGGCGCACAGGACGCUAUUCGGUGGACAAAACGAGAGAGGAAGAAAAAAUUCGUCGCACGCGUAGAAGUGAUUACAAAGAACGAUAUAUAAAUACAGCGAAACUACGAGGGACCAAAAAGCGUGCCGCGCGUGUAAUCGAGCAUCCGGAGCAUUGACUAAACUAUCGCUGCAAUGUAUCAAUUCAGAAGUGCAAAGUUGCUGUUUCCGAGUUAUAAGGAGAAAGAGAUCCUGGGAGAACUGUGUGAAUUCUCUCUUCUCGGACUCGCUCGGAGGUUGAAAAUCCCGACGACAGGUGCAAUACUUUUUUCAACUUGUCGAUCUCAUGAGCGUUCUUAGGUUACGAACUCCCGAAUUCGAAUGGGAUCAAAGGAUUGCAGGAUCCCGAUCAGAUGGAUGGAACCAAUGUGCGGAUAUCUUCGUCGUGAUAUGUACUAUCCCCAAGCAUCCAUAUCCUUUACACGCGACUCGGUGGAAAACAAAUCCCCGGCGGAUUCAGUCAUUCUCGAGGCGAUGCUUAUGCACUACGUGGUGUACCAGAACGACACCCGCAUUUGCAUAUGCUCUAGUGACGACGGUGAUAUUAAAAAAAUAUAUGAAAAUAACGUAUGAGAUUUUUCAACUAGAGAUUCGAUAGAGAGAUAGAAAUAUGCGAGCCACGCAGCUAAGUAUAAUUUUAUAUUUUUGAGUGUCACAAAUUUUCUGACUUUUUUAGACUACAAAUAAAUAAAGACAAAUGAUGAACUCGAAUCGCAGAACUUUAUAUAUUUAACGAAUUUCUUCCAAAGUAGAUUAUAGUUAUAAGGUA
rnacentral:lncRNA from 1 species